rnacentral:rRNA from 1 species
GUUGGAAACGACUGCUAAUACCGAAUGUGCCUUAGGGUGAAAGAUUUAUUGUCUAGAGAUUGGCUCGCGUCAGAUUAGCUAGUUGGAGUGGUAACGGCACACCAAGGCGACGAUCUGUACUUGGUCUGAGAGGAUGACCAGGCACACUGGAACUGAGACACGGUCCAGACUCCUACGGGAGGCAGCAGUGGGGAAUUUUCCGCAAUGGGCGAAAGCCUGACGGAGCAAUACCGCGUGAGGGAGGACGGCUUUUGGGUUGUAAACCUCUUUUAUCAGGGAAGAAUCGAUGACGGUACCUGAUGAAUCAGCAUCGGCUAACUCCGUGCCAGCAGCCGCGGUAAUACGGAGGAUGCAAGCGUUAUCCGGAAUUAUUGGGCGUAAAGCGUCCGUAGGUGGUUUAUCAAGUCUGCUGUCAAAGCGUGCGGCUUAACCGCAUAAGGGCAGUGGAAACUGAUGAACUAGAGUGCGAUAGGGGUAACAGGAAUUCCCAGUGUAGCGGUGAAAUGCGUAGAUAUUGGGAAGAACACCAGCGGCGAAAGCGUGUUACUGGGUCUGCACUG